UUAGGAAUAUUUUAUAAAUAUUAUAGUGACUUAUCAAUAAGAGUCCUGGAUGGGAAUAAAUGCAGGCUCCAGCACAGUGCUCUACGGACCUUUAACAGUCACAGUGUGAUGUAACAGAGUUUAUCAAGCAAGUAGCAGGGCAUCGGGGCUGCUAAGCAUCAUGUGACAUCCUGACCCAGCCUCUGCACCUCUCAUUUGACUGUCUGAAUGCCUGGAUUAUACAGUGUAGCUCAGAGUGUGGAUGAAAAGGCUUCAAGAUGAUGCUGAUGGAGUGGUACUUGAACUCCAUCUCCAUGGGCACAGGAGAUGCUCAACAGAGGGUGUUUAUAAUGCCCAUCAACCAGGCUUUCCGUUGCACCUGUUGGGGGACCAGCUGCAGAAAGCAGGUGUAUCUAGGGACCGAGAGCACUGGUGACUGUGGAGAAUGCUGAAGACCGCCAGAUGUAUUCCACAAAACAACAGGCCAACAGCUGGGCAGACAGGAAAAAUGUGGAUUUAAUUAAAAUGA